UGCAGGCCCUACAAUAACAAUCUGUGCUGCCCAACGCAGGUCCCAACAGCGCAGACACCGCCUCCCCCCGAGUGGUGCCGGAGAGUGACCUGGAGGAGCCGGAUGUGUCCCCCAAUGUCCCCGUGCUCCGAAAACGCCUCCCCCCCUCCUCGAUUUUGGGCUGCGCCGAUCUGGAUGUCGGGGGACCCAAAAAGCGCCGUUUAGACCCCAAAAUGCCCCCAGAUCCUGGUGUUGAGCCCCAGAAUCGCUGCAUGAGCCCCGAGAAGGUGGUGGGUACAGAUGUGGAGCGGUGGAGGGGCAGCGACCCAAGUCUGGACAUUGAGAGCGAUACGGACGAUGAGGAGCGCCCAAAAUCUGUUCUUCACCCAAAUCGCCACCAAUCCGCCCUCGAGAGAAGCGCUGACGCUGGUGUGGCUCAAAGAACCCCAAAUCUGGACAUGAGAGGCACCAGAAAUGGGUGCUGCGUGCUCACAGUGGACAGUGACACUGACAAGGAGGAGGCUGAGCUCCUUCCGCCCAUCCAACAGCCAAAAAUACGGCGUAAAGCCCCAAAUGUGCCCCAAAGUGCCAUGAUGGUGGGGGUGAAGAGCCCGCAGUCGGACCCCCGAGGUCCAAACAACGGAUUUCAGGUCGCCGUGGUGGGCAGCGAUACGGACGUGGAGGUGGGGAGCUCAGAUUUGGGGGUUGGAAGUUCCCAAAGCGGACAGUGGGCGCUCACGGUGGACAGCGACACGGAUGUGGAGGAAAGCGGAGCAGAUCCGGGUGUGGAACGGCCCCAAAACCGUCAGAUGAGCCCAAAUGUUCCAAAAGUAGGGCUGGAGACCCCAGGUCCACCUCCUGGGGGUCCUCGGGAGGAGCCUUUGGUGCUGAUGGUGGACAGCGAUACGGACGUGGAGGACUGCGGGGCGGAUCCGGAUGUUCUGUGCUCCACCACCCACCGGGUGACCCAAAAUGCGCCAAACCCCCCCAGUAUUGAGGCUGAUGGUCCCCAAAAGGGACAACGGGCACCGGAGGUGGGCAGCGAUCCAGAUGUUGGCGGCCCCCCAAGCGGAGACCCAGAUCCAGAGGUUGGGGGACCCAAAAUCCAGCAGCAGCUGCCUGUGGUUGACAGCGAUACAGAUGCGGAGGAGGACAUCGAGUAUCCAAGGGUCCCCAUGGGCACCCCAAAGCCCCUCAUUGGUGCGGGUGUGGUGAUGGAGACCCCAAAUCCUCAUCUUAAAGGACCUCAGAGGGGAGGUCAGAACCUGGAGGUGGACAGUGACACAGAUGUGGAGGGAGAAGAGCAGCAUCCAGAUGUUCCUCACCCGGAAAACCACCAGGAAAACCACCAGAAAAAACACAAAACACCCCAGAUUGCCCCUCAGGAUCCAGCUGCAGUGUUGGAGACCCCAAAUCCCAAUCUUAAAGGACCUCAGAGGGGAGCUCAGAACCUGGAGGUGGACAGUGACACAGACGUGGAGGGAGAAGAGCUGCAUCCAGGUGUUCCUGACCUGAAAAACCAUGAAAUGUCCCAAAUCACCCCAAAGGAUCCAGCUGUGGUGAUGGAGACCCCAGAUCCUCACCUUAAAGGAUCUCAGGUUGGAGAUCAGAGCCUGGAAGUGGACAGCGACACAGAUGUUGAAGAAGAGCUGAAUCCAGAUGUUCCUCACCCAGAAAACCCCAAAACGCCCCAAAUCGCCCCAAAAGAUCCAGCUGUGGUGAUGGAGACCCCAAAUCCUGACCUUAAAGGACCUCGCAGCAGAUGUCAGAGCGUGGAUGUGGACAGUGACACAGAUGUUGAAGAAGAGCUGAAUCCAGAUGUUCCUCACCCAGAAAACCCCAAAACGCCCCAAAUCGCCCCAAAAGAUCCAGCUGUGGUGAUGGAGACCCCAAAUCCUGACCUUAAAGGACCUCGCAGCAGAUGUCAGAGCGUGGAUGUGGACAGUGACACAGAUGUUGAAGAAGAGCUGAAUCCAGAUGUUUCUCACCCAGAAAACCACAAAACGGCCCAAAGUGUCCUGAAGGAUCCAGCUGCGGUGAUGGAGACCCCAAAUCCUGACCUUAAAGGGUCUCAGAGUGAAUGUCAGAACCUGGAGGUGGACAGUGACACAGAUGUUGAAGAAGAGCUGAAUCCAGAUGUUCCUCACCUGGAAAACCCCAAAACGCCCCAAAUCGCCCCAAAGGAUCCAGCUGUGGUGAUGGAGACCCCAAACCCAGAUGUUGCUGCCCUGAAUGGUGACGGUGACACCGAUGUGGGGGACCUCGGUGGCGUCGAAGCCCCCCAAACCCACAAGGCAACGCAGAGAUUCAUCGAUUCGGAUGCUGUGACUGCCUCUGCUCCAGAUGUUGUUCCAGAUGUUGCUCCAGAUGUGGCGGUGACCGCUCCAAAUCCAGCUGUUUCCCCUCCCGCCAGCCUUGGGGGUGGCAGCGACAGCGAUGGGGAGGAGGUGGCUCCCACUCCCCACAUUUGGAGCCGAAUCCGACCCCGAAAUCCAAAUGUUGGGAGCACGGCGAUGGGUGGCGGUGCCGAUGUGGGGCAGAUGAACCCAAAAUGUGGGAAAUCGACCCAAAAAAGGCAGAGUUUGCCCCCAGAACCGUGCGGUGAUGGAGGUGUGGGAGGAACGGCACCAAAACGGCACAAUUCAGCCCCAGAUACAGACAUGGAGAGCCCCAAACCCAACGAUGGGACGCAGAGACACAGUGGGGAGACCUCGAGGAUGAGCAGUGAUACAGCUGCGGCCCCGGCCCCAAAAUCUCCGGAUCCAUCCCCAAAUUUGGGCCUCACUGCUGAUGGGCAGCAUCGUCCCAGUGGGGACACGGAUGCGACAGAGAGUGACACCGAGGCUGAGGGUGAGUGGGGUGGCUCUGCUCAAUUUGGUUCUCUCUUUAGUCACUUCGGUCCCCUUUUAGACACCUUCAUUCUCUUCCAUGGUCCCCUGGAUCCCAUCUGUGUCCCCUGGGUGCCUUCUUUGUCCCUUGGGUCCUUUCCAUGGUCACCUGGGACCCCACUUUGUCACCCUGGUCCCCUUUCAGACACCUUCAUCCCCUUCUCUGCUCGCCUGUCCCCCCUCCCUGCUCACCUGGAUCCCCUCCUUGUCACCAUGCCCCCCUCCCUCGGUCACCAUAUCCCCACCUCGUCACUUGAACCCCUCCUCAGGGCUCUUCCCUUUCCCCCCAGAUGA
ensembl:lncRNA